rnacentral:lncRNA from 1 species
AGGGAGCUGUACUACUGAGUGGCUACUGUGUGCAGAGCACUUUUCUGGGGACCCCCAAGGAGUGAAAAUCAUGAUCCCCAUCCUGGAGGACCUCCCGGGCUACCGCGGGGAAGACGAGGAAAGGACUGAGGGAUGCGUUGCAAGGCAGAGCCCCGCUGCACGGGGCUGAGGAUGUGGCUGGGGAGGGUGGGGGGCGUUUCCGCGGUGGGUGGGAGGGGAGAGGAGCCCAGCUGGGUCCCCUCCCGCUCCUCGCACCCACUGCUCUCAAGAGGUUGCAGGGACCUGGACCACCCCAUCCGCCCCCUCCCUCCCACCACGACCCCCUGCAACUCGCAGCAAUGCCGGUCCCGCUCCACCUGCUCCUCGCCUUGGUCCUUUCGGUCAGCCCAGGGCCUCCAGAGCAAAGAACCGUUUAUCAAGUGUGUGACCUGCAAGAUGGUGGUGCAGAAGAUAGUGGCCUCCGUCGGAGAAGACCCCACCCCCGAGAACAUUAAGGAAGCGGGAAGCAAGGUCUGUACCCGAUUGGGCCGCUUCCUGCGCCGCGUCUGCAAGAAGUUCAUUAAGAAGUUCCUCGACAUGAUCACCCAGGGCAUUCAGGAGGGCAAGGAGGCCAAGGAGAUUUGUGUGGACAUCCGCUUGUGCAAGGGAUCAUCCGGCUACAACUUGAAAUAGGUCUAACAGACCUGAAAACUCCUGCCCUCUCAGGACAUCUCACUGGGGACACUGCACAGCCGCCCUCUCCCCAUCUCUGUGACCCCCGACCUGCUGAACUGCUCCUCCUCGUCCAGCUUCCAGCCCUUUCCACUGGCUCAUCAGGGAAUAAAGUGCCUGGUCUUUGCAGUGUGGACUAGCUCUGGGCAGGGCUGCCUCACGCCUCUUCCUUUGCUUAAUAAAUCAUCCUGGUCAGCUCUGUGACUUCCUGAACCCCAGAAUGGGCUGGGUGGGGGCUGUGAGGGGACAGCAGGAGGCAUUGGGCCUCACUGGGUUCAGCUCGCAGGCCCUUCCCACCUCUCAGACCUUGCCCUGGGUUUGUCUGCCUCUUCAGGGGGCUCCUUCUGCCCCUGUGUGGUUGGAGGUUCUGUGAAACAGGCCUGGCACUUAGCCCAAGGACCAGGGGCUCCAUCUGCAGCCCCUGAAGCUCCUGCACCGGUCUACCCAUUUCUCUCCAGGCCUGGUCCACAUUUAUUCAUUCGUCCAUUCAUUCAAUCACUUACCUAGUGCAGAGCCCUGUACUAAGCACUUGGGACAGUACAACACAAUAAUAAACAAUCACAUUCUCUGCCCGCAACAAGCUUACCCUGUUCUCUUAGGCCCCCUUUCCUAAUUUCUGGGGCCCUUGCAUCACCAAGAAAAUCCUACUCCCAGGUGAGAGUGAGGCAGGGACCCCCAGCCCCCCACCAUCACCCCACAGUUCAGUCAGAGCCCGGGCAGGCCUCAUUUUACAGCCACCACCGUCCUUCCUGGAUCGGGCAGAGACUUCUCACUCCAAAGAGGCUGCAGGGUCUGUCUGUCUCAUUCACUCAUUCAUUCAAUAGUAUUUAUUGAGCGCUUACUAUGUGCAAAACACUGUACUAAGCGCUUGGAAUGGACAAUUGGGCGACAGAGACCAUCCCUGCCCAAUGACGGGCUCACAGUCUAAACGGGGGAGACAGACGGCAAAGCAAAACAGACUGUAAGCUUGCUGUGGGCAGGAUAUGUGUCUGCUUCUUUGUUGCAGUGUACUUUCCCAAGCGCUUAGUACAGUGCUCUGCUCACAGUAAGCGCCUAAUAAAUACG